rnacentral:lncRNA from 1 species
AUGAUCAAGUUCACAAGCAUCAAGUAUCUCCUUGCCAAGCAUCAAAACUCUCUGUUUCCUAACUCCUUUGAAUUAUUUUUCUUCUUCCAACACCAAUUUAAAAACAAUGGGGUUCUGGAUUCCAGGAAUUGUCAACGCCAAGAAAAGUCUAAACCAUUCAGCUUCUUCAAAGACCUUAGAGAUCCCAAAAGGCCAUUUUGAAGUGUAUGUUGGGAAGAACCAGAAGAAGAGAUUUGUAAUUCCAGUAUCAUACUUGAAUGAGCCUUUAUUCCUGGAUUUGCUUAAUCAAGCUGAAGAAGAAUUUGGAUACGGUCAUCCCAUGGGUUGUAUCACAAUACCCUGCAGUGAAGACAGCUUUGUUCAUCUGACUUCCUGCUUAAGUGUAUGA